rnacentral:rRNA from 1 species
CAACUUUCAACAACGGAUCUCUUGGCUCUCGCAUCGAUGAAGAACGCAGCGAAAUGCGAUAAGUAAUGUGAAUUGCAGAUUUCAGUGAAUCAUCGAAUCUUUGAA